rnacentral:rRNA from 1 species
UUCGCAAUGCCCGAAAGGGUGACGAAGCGACGCCGCGUGAGUGAGGAAGGCCUUCGGGUUGUAAAGCUCUGUCAGGAGUUAAGAAAUGUAAGUGUGUUAAUACCACAUUUACUUGACGAAAGCUCCAAAGGAAGCCACGGCUAACUCUGUGCCAGCAGCCGCGGUAAUACAGAGGUGGCAAGCGUUGUUCGGAAUUAUUGGGCGUAAAGAGCACGUAGGUGGGUUUGUAAGUCAGAUGUGAAAGCCUUCUGUUCAACAGAAGAAUUGCAUCUGAAACUGUAAGUCUUGAGUGUAGGAGGGGAGAAUGGAACUUCUGGUGGAGCGGUGAAAUGCGUAGAUAUCAGAAGGAACGCCGGCGGCGAAAGCGAUUCUCUGGCCUAUUACUGACACUCAGUGUGCGAAAGCUAGGGGAGCAAACGGGAUUAGAUACCCCGGUAGUCCUAGCCGUAAACGAUGGGCACUAAGUAGAGGGGUUUU